rnacentral:rRNA from 2 species
AUACCGGCAGCACGAGUGAUGACCGCUAUUAUUGGGCCUAAAGCGUCCGUAGCCGGCCGGGCAAGUCCAUCGGGAAAUCCGCACGCCUAACGUGUGGGCGUCCGGUGGAAACUGCUUGGCUUGGGACCGGAAGACCUGAGGGGUACGUCUGGGGUAGGAGUGAAAUCCCGUAAUCCUGGACGGACCACCGGUGGCGAAAGCGCCUCAGGAAGACGGAUCCGACGGUGAGGGACGAAAGCUUGGGUCACGAACCGGAUUAGAUACCCGGGUAGUCCAAGCUGUAAACGAUGUCUGCUAGGUGUGGCGCUGGCUACGAGCCAGCGCUGUGCCGUAGGGAAGCCGUGAAGCAGACCGCCUGGGAAGUACGUCUGCAAGGAUGAA